GAAAGAUGUGAAGCGUGUCGAUAGAGCAUACGCGCGCUCCACCUUUGUUGUGGCAGUCCCUAAAUCAUAUGUUUCAAUUGCGAUUUACUCAGGGGCAGUUCCACAACAGUUUCAUGUGUUUAUCUAGGUUCUUCGUAUGACUAUCAAUGGAUGGAAAAUGAUGAUUCCCCUUGCCUUCUUUGUCGGUACCGGGGUGCGGGUGACUAACGAAAUUGGAGCGGGAAAAGGAAAAUCAUCAAAAUUUGCAAUGCAAGUCUCUGUGAUACAAUCAACAGUGGUUGGAUUAGUCUUCUGGGUUCUAAUAAUGAUAUUCCAAAUACAGAUUGCAUACAUUUUCACCUUAAGCCCUUAUGUUCUUUAAGCUGUUAACGAUAUCUCAAUCCUCUCGGCAGUCACCAUUCUUCUCAAUAGUGUUCACAAU